rnacentral:other from 1 species
GACUCCCUAGAGUGUUGGCCAGUUGGAUGCGUCCUCGAGCCGAUGAAUUUUAUUUAUGGCGGCCGCCUGCGGGUGAUGUGUGCAAGUCCCACAUUGAUGGGAAAGCCUAAUUCAUCACAGAGGCCUCCUCCUUGAACCAAAGGGUUCAAGGGCCGUUUCUGACAGCGGCACUUCCGGGGAGUUU